AUUGAACGCUGGCGGCAGGCUUAACACAUGCAAGUCGAGCGGAGACUUCGGUCUUAGCGGCGAACGGGUGAGGAAUGCCUGGGAAUCUGCCUGUUAGUGGGGGAUAACGUUCCGAAAGGAACGCUAAUACCGCAUACGUCCUACGGGAGAAAGCAGGGGACCUUCGGGCCUUGCGCUAACAGAUGAGCCCAGGUCGGAUUAGCUAGUUGGUGGGGUAAAGGCUCACCAAGGCGACGAUCCGUAGCUGGUCUGAGAGGAUGAUCAGCCACACUGGAACUGAGACACGGUCCAGACUCCUACGGGAGGCAGCAGUGGGGAAUAUUGGACAAUGGGCGAAAGCCUGAUCCAGCCAUGCCGCGUGUGUGAAGAAGGCCUCGG
rnacentral:rRNA from 1 species